AGAGUUUGAUCCUGGCUCAGAACGAACGCUGGCGGCGCGCCUAACACAUGCAAGUCGAGCGAGAAAGGUCCUUCGGGGCUGAGUAAAGCGGCGCACGGGUGAGUAACACGUAGGUAACCUACCCUUUGGUCUGGGAUAACCCAGGGAAACCUGGGCUAAUACCGGAUAAGACCACGGAUCUGCGGAUCUGUGAGAAAAGGUGGCCUCUAUUUAUAAGCUAUCUCCAGAGGAUGGGCCUGCGCAGUAUUAGCUUGUUGGUAAGGUAAUGGCUUACCAAGGCUUCGAUGCUUAGCUGGUCUGAGAGGACGAUCAGCCACACUGGCACUGGAACACGGGCCAGACACCUACGGGUGGCAGCAGUGGGGAAUUUUGCGCAAUGGGCGAAAGCCUGACGCAGCGACGCCGCGUGCGGGAGGAAGGCCUUCGGGUCGUAAACCGCUGUCAGAAGGGAUGAAAAACGGAACGGCUAAUAUCCGGUCCGCUUGAUGGUACCUUCAGAGGAAGCACCGGCUAACUCCGUGCCAGCAGCCGCGGUAAUACGGAGGGUGCAAGCGUUGUUCGGAAUCACUGGGCGUAAAGGGUGCGCAGGCGGCCAUGUAAGUCUGAUGUGAAAUCCCGGGGCUCAACCCCGGAACUGCAUUGGAAACUGCAUGGCUCGAGUACGGGAGAGGAAAGCGGAAUUCCUGGUGUAGAGGUGAAAUUCGUAGAUACCAGGAGGAACACCGGUGGCGAAGGGCGGGCUUUCUGGACCGAUACUGACGCUGAGGCACGAAAGCGUGGGGAGCAAACAGGAUUAGAUACCCUGGUAGUCCACGCCCUAAACGAUGACAACUAGAUGUCGCGGGUAUUUACCCCCGCGGUGCCGUCGCUAACGCAUUAAGUUGUCCGCCUGGGGAGUACGGUCGCAAGAUUAAAACUCAAAGGAAUUGACGGGGGGCCCGCACAAGCAGUGGAGCAUGUGGUUUAAUUCGACGCAACGCGAAAAACCUUACCCAGACUUGACAUCCUUGGACAACCCUGGAGACAGGGCUUCCCCUUCGGGGGCCAGGUGACAGGUGCUGCAUGGCUGUCGUCAGCUCGUGUCGUGAGAUGUAGGGUUAAGUCCCACAACGAGCGCAACCCUUGCCGUUAGUUGCUACCAUUCAGUUGAGCACUCUAGCGGGACUGCCGUGGUCAACACGGAGGAAGGUGGGGAUGACGUCAAGUCCUCAUGGCCCUUAUGUCUGGGGCUACACACGUGCUACAAUGGUCGGUACAGAGGGCUGCGAUGCCGCAAGGUGGAGCGAAUCCCAAAAAACCGGCCUCAGUUCGGAUUGGAGUCUGCAACUCGACUCCAUGAAGGUGGAAUUGCUAGUAAUCGUGGAUCAGAAUGCCACGGUGAAUACGUUCCCGGGCCUUGUACACACCGCCCGUCACACCACGAAAGUUGUCUAUACCCGAAGUGGCUGAGCUAACCGCAAGGAGGCAGGUCCCAACGGUAUGGGGGAUGAUUGGGGUGAAGUCGUAACAAGGUA
rnacentral:rRNA from 1 species